UGGGAAUUAAGCAAAGCCUGAGCCGUGGAGACAGUGGGAAACAAGCUUGAGGGACUGGUGAGCGGGUGGCCUCAUUUCACCCAGGGACAGCCCCAGCCCCAGCCCCACAGCUCAAAUUGGAAGGCUUGUGUGUGCUAGGUCGACAGUUCCCAUUUUUCUCUCAGCCUCUCCCUCCAAAAUGCAGGACCGGUGGACCCUGCUGAUGAGUCCUCGCCGACUCACCUGGGGCGGGGGUAUCUAACCAAGUGUCGGGGAGGGCGUGAGGGCCAGUCUGUCCCCACCAGCCUACGUCUCAUCUCCCAGAACCCACAGGGAUGGCUGAGAUUUUCUUUAGCCCACGUACCCGACCAGCUUGUAAAUGGUUCCCUCUCGUUUGGCUUCAGGAGUGGCAGGGCCCCUUUCUGCCUGACCUGCAGGGCUGCUGCGGGAGGCAGCGGGUGCCACACCAGUCCCAGGAGCCUGGCCCUCGCUUUCCCAGUCUGUGGGGUUCCUGAACUUCCCAGACUUCCCUGUCCCGGGUCAGUUAAUCAGGGAUCCUGCGAUUUGCACACGUGCUGACGUUUGUCAGUGGCUGAGUCCUUUUCCACCAGCAGCAUGGAGUCUGAGGCGUCAGGUGGGACGACUUCCUUUCUCCGGGCCCAGGAAGGUAUUCUGUGGGCAUUCUUCCUGAGAAAGAAAAGAACCAAGCUCGCCAUUUAUCCUUGCGUUUGGAGCCUGGCAUCGUCAGGAACUGCACUGACCUUGUAGUGAGUGAGAUUAUCCCAGGUGAAAAAUCUCAGACAUUAAGAGGCAUGAUAAUGAUACUGGUCAUGAUGAUAUAAUAAUAGUGGUAAUUAUCCUAAUAAUCCCCUAGGAUGGGUGCAUGUCUUUCCAAGUGCUCAGAGCACUUUCCCAUUUGUGAUCUCACAUAACCUCAACCUACUUCUGGUCGAGAGACCGGGUGGAGUGGGCUAUCAUGGCCACACGGGGAAACUGAGGCACCCAGCUCUUGCCUUCCACUCUGGUCUUUUCCCCCUCACUACGCAAAUCCUGGAGAAAUGAAUUGUCAUUUUUGUUGUCACCCAUCCUGUCCCUGAGAGUGAAAUACAUAGGCGCAGGCACUCACGUGCACGUGCACACGCACACACACACACACAUAUCUGCAGCUUCCAACCCCCAAAUGUGCCAUUACUGAAAAGCACUGUAGCUUAGGGAGUUGAGAGACUUAAUCGCCAGCCUCCACCCCUGCUCAUUCCUCCUGUGCUGUGCUCAGGGUUGCUCAUCAAAAAGGAGCAGGGAGGAGGCAGAUCUGAGGAGCCCUUCACAGGGGAAGAUUCUUUAGAGGAAACCACUCGGUGUCAUAGUGUAGGGUGACUUACUUUCAUGUGGCAAAUACAUUCUGGCAGCUCCCUGCUCCACAUGGGAUAGAUCAUUAAAGAAGGGGUGGGCCCAGGGAAUUUUCCCAGCCCCUCCUCCUAGGACAGCUCUGCCAGUCACAGGGAGGCAUCCUGGGGUCACUUUCAAAGCAAGAGCAUGGGGUCUUGAAAGGCUAACCAGUAGAAAGCAGAGAAACAACAGUGGGUGCUCACUGUUAGCUGGAGUCCUGUGAUUCCAUUUACUAAAUGUGUCUCUGCUUAGUAAUUUCAGGGCCAGCAGGGAGAGAAAAUGCAGGGUUGGGAGGGGGGGAGGG